GUGCUUGCUUUGGCAGCACACAUACUAAAUAAAAUUAGAAUGAUAGAGAAUACUAGCACGGCCCUUGAUCAAGGAUGACAGGCACGCUUGUGUAGCCUUCCACAGAAAA
ensembl:snRNA Gm25713 predicted gene, 25713